CGGGGCAUCUUGUGUCGAAAACU
rnacentral:miRNA from 1 species